rnacentral:rRNA from 1 species
UACGGAGGGUGCAAGCGUUAAUCGGAAUUACUGGGCGUAAAGCGCACGCAGGUGGCUGAGAAAGUCGAUUGUGAAAGCCCUGGGCUUAACCUGGGAAUUGCAGUCGAAACUACUCGGCUAGAGUAUGGGAGAGGGUAGUGGAAUUCCCGGUGUAGCGGUGAAAUGCGUAGAUAUCAGUCGGAACACCGGUGGCGAAGGCGGCUUCUUGGGCCGUUUCUGACGCUGAGGCGCGAAAGCCAGGGGAGCGAACGGG